UAACACGUGGGGAACCUGCCCCAUAGUCUGGGAUACCACUUGGAAACAGGUGCUAAUACCGGAUAAGAAAGCGGAUCGCAUGAUCAGCUUUUAAAAGGCGGCGUAAGCUGUCGCUAUGGGAUGGCCCCGCGGUGCAUUAGCUAGUUGGUAAGGUAAAGGCUUACCAAGGCGAUGAUGCAUAGCCGAGUUGAGAGACUGAUCGGCCACAUUGGGACUGAGACACGGCCCAAACUCCUACGGGAGGCAGCAGAC
rnacentral:rRNA from 1 species